GGCGAUUAAGUAUGUUGUUGAAUAUUUUAAUUUGAUUUAAUUAAACAUUAGAUUGAACCCCACUUAGUACGUACUAUAAACUUAAGCUGCCAGAUAUAAAUAGCUAGCACACUAUAUAUAGAUUGCUAAAAUUCCCUAUAAUAUAUCCCCCAUAUUGUGGUUCCUGAGUUAAGUGUUCACUGUGUAAUACAACAAACUCUAAUAUAACCCCUGUUCAUAUAAU
rnacentral:lncRNA from 1 species